rnacentral:rRNA from 1 species
UACGGGGGGGGCAAGCGUUGUUCGGAAUUACUGGGCGUAAAGGGCUCGUAGGUGGCCAACUAAGUCGGACGUGAAAUCCCUCAGCUUAACUGGGGAACUGCGUCCGAUACUGGAUGGCUUGAGUUUGGGAGAGGGAUGCGGAAUUCCAGGUGGAGCGGUGAAAUGCGUUGAUAUCGAUAGGAACUCCGGUGGCGAAGGCGGCAUACUGGACCACAUCUGACGCUGAGGCGCGAAAGCCAGGGGAGCGAACGGG